UACAGAGGGGGCAAGCGUUGUUCGGAAUUACUGGGCGUAAAGGGUUCGUAGGUGGCUCGCUAAGUCACACGUGAAAUCCCUCAGCUUAACUGGGGAACUGCGUGUGAGACUGGCAAGCUCGAGUGCAGGAGAGGAAUGCGGAAUUCCAGGUGUAGCGGUGAAAUGCGUAGAUAUCUGGAGGAACACCGGUGGCGAAGGCGGCAUUCUGGACUGCAACUGACACUGAGGAACGAAAGCCAGGGGAGCAAACGGG
rnacentral:rRNA from 1 species